CCUUCCUUCCUUCCUUCCUUC
rnacentral:misc_RNA from 1 species